AUGGAUACAGAGGCUUGUGGCGGCGAAACUUCUCAUCUAGGGUUAUUUCUAGGGGUUUCUGUAUUUAUAGGAUUUUUUGGCGUUAGUCUCACGCUAAGAUGGGCCUCAGGGAGCCAAUCACCCACCAGCGCACCAUUACCCCCCCAGGCGCUCACUGGUGGGUGGUGGCCACCUCGUGACUCUUCUAGCCUUUCCACGAAGCUUAUAGUGCCUCUUUUCUUCCAAGUCGUUGCAUUUGGAGAACUUUUAUUUCUGCACAAAAAACAACACCAUGGUAGUUCUGCUAAAAACAACAUCAAUCCAGGUUAG
rnacentral:rRNA from 1 species